rnacentral:rRNA from 1 species
GAUGAACGCUGGCGGCGUGCCUAAUACAUGCAAGUCGAGCGAACGGACGAGAAGCUUGCUUCUCUGAUGUUAGCGGCGGACGGGUGAGUAACACGUGGAUAACCUACCUAUAAGACUGGGAUAACUUCGGGAAACCGGAGCUAAUACCGGAUAAUAUUUUGAACCGCAUGGUUCAAAAGUGAAAGACGGUCUUGCUGUCACUUAUAGAUGGAUCCGCGCUGCAUUAGCUAGUUGGUAAGGUAACGGCUUACCAAGGCAACGAUGCAUAGCCGACCUGAGAGGGAGGUCGGCCAGACUGGAACUGAGACACGGUCCAGACUCCUACGGGAGGCAGCAGUAGGGACUCUUCCGCAAUGGGCGAAAGCCUGACGGAGCAACGCCGCGUGAGUGAUGAAGGUCUUAGGAUCGUAAAACUCUGUUAUUAGGGAAGAACAUAUGUGUAAGUAACUGUGCACAUCUUGACGGUACCUAAUCAGAAAGCCACGGCUAACUACGUG